rnacentral:rRNA from 1 species
CCUUGACAUCCAGAGAACUUAGCAGAGAUGCUUUGGUGCCUUCGGGAACUCUGAGACAGGUGCUGCAUGGCUGUCGUCAGCUCGUGUUGUGAAAUGUUGGGUUAAGUCCGCAACGAGCGCAACCCUUAUCCUUUGUUGCCAGCGGUUCGGCCGGGAACUCAAAGGAGACUGCCGGUGAUAAACCGGAGGAAGGUGGGGAUGACGUCAAGUCAUCAUGGCCCUUACGGCCAGGGCUACACACGUGCUACAAUGGCGCAUACAAAGAGAAGCGACCUCGCGAGAGCAAGCGGACCUCAUAAAGUGCGUCGUAGUCCGGAUUGGAGUCUGCAACUCGACUCCAUGAAGUCGGAAUCGCUAGUAAUCGUAGAUCAGAAUGCUACGGUGAAUACGUUCCCGGGCCUUGUACACACCGCCCGUCACACCAUGGGAGUGGGUUGCAAAAGAAGUAGGUAGCUUAACCUUCGGGAGGGCGCUUACCACUUUGUGAUUCGUGACUGGGGUGAAGUCGUAACAAGGUAGGCGUAGCGAG